UACGUAGGGUGCGAGCGUUGUCCGGAAUUAUUGGGCGUAAAGAGCUCGUAGGCGGUUUGUCGCGUCGGCCGUGAAAACUUGGGGCUUAACCCCAAGUCUGCGGUGGAUACGGGCAGACUAGAGGCAGGUAGGGGAGAACGGAAUUCCCGGUGUAGCGGUGAAAUGCGCAGAUAUCGGGAGGAACACCGGUGGCGAAGGCGGCUACCUGGGCUGACACUGACGCUGAGGCGCGAAAGCGUGGGGAUCAAACAGG
rnacentral:rRNA from 1 species